AAGUCGUAACAAGGUAACCGUAGGUGAACCUGCGGUUGGAUCAUUACUGAUUUAUGAGUUUUACUGCGGUUGAUGCUCCUAGUUGAGCUCACUAAUGUACUACUCUUUCACACUUUGUGCAAUUCAAUGUCUUUUGGGUAGGCUCUAGUAAUAGAGUGUACCCAGCAUUAUAUUAAACCACUGUUUUAAAUUGACUGACUUGUUUAUAUAGUAAACAAAAACAA
rnacentral:misc_RNA from 1 species